AACAACAACAACAAAGUCAGGGAAACCUGACUGGAAACCUGACUUAGUGGGUGGCCUCCUUGUGUAUGGCAGGGGGGUUGGAACUAGAUGAUCUUUAAGGUCCCUUCCAACCCGAAUCAUUCUAUGAUUCUAUGAUAAGAUCUAGGUUGCUCUGAAGUAAAGCUCCACACUUCAAAUAACCUUCUUCUCUUUUCUGAUGCAAUUAUCAAUGAUUUGACUCACUGUUUUGUCUCUUCCAUGUACGUCUCCUGUUUUAGGUACUUCCCAGCAAUUUUCUUACUAUUGCAUCUGAGGAGUUCUAGGUCAUGACACCAUCUUGCACCCAACUUAGAAGAAGUACCUGAACAAUACAGCACACCAUGAGACCUGGGCUGUGAAUGAGCAAAUCUUCAGGCUUCCUAAAGUGCACUGCAUCAUUAAAAAUAAAUCAAAGCCUGUAAAAGUUGACA
rnacentral:lncRNA from 1 species